UACGGAGGGUGCAAGCGUUAUCCGGAUUCACUGGGUUUAAAGGGUGCGUAGGAGGGCAGGUAAGUCAGUGGUGAAAUCUCCGGGCUUAACUCGGAACUGCCGUUGAUACUAUCUGUCUUGAAUAUUGUGGAGGUGAGCGGAAUAUGUCAUGUAGCGGUGAAAUGCUUAGAUAUGACAUAGAACACCAAUUGCGAAGGCAGCUCGCUACACAUAUAUUGACUCUGAGGCACGAAAGCGUGGGGAUCAAACAGG
rnacentral:rRNA from 1 species